UACAGAGGUCGCAAGCGUUGUUCGGAUUCAUUGGGCGUAAAGGGUGCGUAGGCGGCGCGGUAAGUCGGGUGUGAAAUUUCGAGGCUUAACUUCGAAACUGCAUUCGAUACUGCCGUGCUUGAGGACUGGAGAGGAGACUGGAAUUUACGGUGUAGCGGUGAAAUGCGUAGAUAUCGUAAGGAAGACCAGUGGCGAAGGCGGGUCUCUGGACAGUUCCUGACGCUGAGGCACGAAGGCCAGGGGAGCAAACAGG
rnacentral:rRNA from 1 species